GUGUCAGCAGCCGCGGUAAUACGGAGGGUGCAAGCGUUAUCCGGAUUCACUGGGUUUAAAGGGUGUGUAGGCGGGCUGUUAAGUCAGUGGUGAAAUCUCCAGGCUCAACCUGGAAACUGCCAUUGAUACUAUCAGUCUUGAAUUUUGUUGAGGUAGGCGGAAUAUGUCAUGUAGCGGUGAAAUGCUUAGAUAUGACAUAGAACACCGAUUGCGAAGGCAGCUUACUAAACAAAUAUUGACGCUGAGGCACGAAAGCGUGGGGAUCAAACAGGAUUAGAAACCCGCGUAGUCC
rnacentral:rRNA from 1 species